UGGGGAAUUUUGGACAAUGGGCGCAAGCCUGAUCCAGCCAUGCCGCGUGAGUGAACAAGGCCUUCGGGUUGUAAAGCUCUUUCAGCCGGAAAGAAAUCGCAUCUUCUAAUACAGGGUGUGGAUGACGGUACCGUAAGAAGAAGCACCGGCUAACUACGUG
rnacentral:rRNA from 1 species